rnacentral:rRNA from 1 species
GACGAACGCUGGCGGCGUGCCUAACACAUGCCAGUCGAACGGCAAGGCCCUGCUUUUGUGCGCUGCUCGAGUGGCGAACGCGUGAGUAACACGUGAGUAACCUGCCCUUGACUUUGGGAUAACUUCAGGAAACUGGGGCUACUACCGUAUAGGAGCUCCUGUUGCAUGGUGGGGGUUGGAAAGUUUCGGCGGUCGUGGUUGGAUUCGCGGCUUAUCAGCUUGUUGGUUGGGGAGUGGCUUGCCCAGGCUUUGACGGGUACCCGGCCUGGGAGGGUGACCGGCGACAUGGGUACUGCGGUACGGACCAGAGUGCUACGGGGGGCAGCAGUGGGAAAUAUUGCACAAUGGGCGGAAGCCGGAGGCAGCAGCGCCGCGUGCGGGAUGACGGCCUUCGGGGUGUAAACCGCUUUCGCCUGUGACGAAGCGUGAGUGACGGUAAUGGAUAAAGAAGCACCGGCUAACUACGUG